rnacentral:pre_miRNA from 1 species
AAAAAGGCAAACCCUGAAUUUCCGUGUCCAACUUUAACUGUCCGUCUUAUAUGAAAUUUUUUUAUAAUUCGUAUUUUUAUUAUUGUUAGAUGAUAAAAUAUGAUUAAUAUUUUAUACGUGACUUGUCUUUUUAAUUUUUUUUAUAAUUUUUUUAAAUAAAACGAACAGUUAAACAUUGGAUACGGAAAUCAGGGUUUGUCUUUUU